rnacentral:rRNA from 1 species
UGGGGAAUAUUGCACAAUGGGCGCAAGCCUGAUGCAGCCAUGCCGCGUGUGUGAAGAAGGCCUUCGGGUUGUAAAGCACUUUCAGCGGGGAGGAAGGCGGUGAGGUUAAUAACCUCAUCGAUUGACGUUACCCGCAGAAGAAGCACCGGCUAACUCCGUGCCAGCAGCCGCGGUAAUACGGAGGGUGCAAGCGUUAAUCGGAAUUACUGGGCGUAAA